rnacentral:rRNA from 1 species
CAGUCGCCGCGGUAAUACGAAGGGUGCAAGCGUUAAUCGGAAUUACUGGGCGUAAAGCGUGCGUAGGCGGUUUGUUAAGUCUGCUGUGAAAUCCCCGGGCUCAACCUGGGAAUGGCAGUGAAUACUGGCAAGCUAGAGUGUGUCAGAGGAUGGUGGAAUUCCCGGUGUAGCGGUGAAAUGCGUAGAGAUCGGGAGGAACAUCAGUGGCGAAGGCGGCCAUCUGGGACAACACUGACGCUGAGGCACGAAAGCGUGGGGAGCAAACAGUAUUAGAGACCCCCGUAGUCCCUGUCUCUUAUAC